AUAUACCCUAGCCCUUGAGCAUCAGCCUGGUUGGAUUGAAGCAGAGGCCAAUGUCUUAUGCAAGGAAAUUAUAAUAUACAUUUGUACAACAAAAUUUGAGCAGCCUCUUUCGGGCUGCGCGGCCGCAGCAGACGAACUCACCUUCUGCGGUCCGCUGUAGGACAUAGAAAUGAUUUCCCGU
rnacentral:sRNA from 1 species